GGACAACAAACAGUUCAACAGCCUUGAGUUUCUAUUUUGGGGGCGUGAAUCUUUACUAUCGUCUUAUAAAGGAUUUGUUUGGGAGUUUUCAAACUGAAACACAUUAGAAUCUUCCACAGGUUUGUACUCAGUGUUUUUCUGUUCUGUUUAAUCCACUCUAUAGCUCAGUAAAGUUCCUCCUCUACCUGAACCAAAGUAAAAACACAGCAGCUUGUUUUCUACGUUGUUUUCUUUUCUCCCCAGGUGCCACACCUGUCCUGCGUUCAAACACACCUCUAACACACGAAGCCGCUGCUUUAAAGGUUUAAAUCCACAUUUUCAGAGUGAAAGUAGAAGUUCCUCCUGAAGAUCAGAGAUUGCAGCAUCUGAGGGCCUCUUCAAAAGAAGACGUAGUUGAUGAAGGCGUUCUGGAGCAGGACCAGAAAGACCACGACCAAGCAGCCUUGAGAUCUUAGGCAGCAUCUCCCUGAGGUCCCUCUCUAUCUCCCCUCACAUCCACCAACCACUGGAACACAUCUCCAAAGUUCUGCUGGACCAGCUCAGCUUCCCCUCAGAAGAAGUGGCGCCACCUGCCAGAUGAAGGAGCCUUUUGAGAGGCAGCUGGCAUCGUGAUUGGACUGUACUUUGGUCUGUUCCAAUCCAGCUUCAGCUCCAGAGACGGCAGGUGGGACGAGUCAACGGAGGCCGGAUGGACGAAGACAUGCAGCUGAGUACAAUCCAGAAAACAACAGAGGAGGAGUGCAGCAGCCCAGAGCCAGAACAACCAGAGUAGCAUCGUAUGUCUCUUAGAAAACAUCAUAGUAUAGCCUUUGGUAUGAAAAAACGCCAUCAUAUACAUCGUAUAUUGUACAAAUAACAAGUCAAAGGAAAGAGACAUACAUUGUAGAAUUGUAGUAAUUGUGGGCUGACUGAUUUACUGAUUAUCAGUAUUUUAUUUUUUACUGAUUUACAGUAAUAAAUACAUUUAAAAAUGGCGCUACUUUGGCUCUGAACCUUUAUCUACCUGUGGUCGCUCUGUCUUCUGGAGUGAUUUGAUUGGUUAUACGUAACGAAUAAAACUCCUUUAACUUAA